rnacentral:rRNA from 1 species
CACGUAGGCACCAAGCGUUGUCCGGAUUCAUUGGGCGUAAAGAGCUUGUAGGCGGUUCGGUAAGUCGGGUGUGAAACCUCUGGGCUCAACUCAGAGACGCCACCCGAUACUGCUGUGACUAGAGUGCGGUAGGGGAGCGGGGAAUUCCUGGUGUAGCGGUGAAAUGCGCAGAUAUCAGGAGGAACACCAGUGGCGAAGGCGCCGCUCUGGGCCGUAACUGACGCUGAGAAGCGAAAGCGUGGGUAGCAAACAGG